rnacentral:lncRNA from 1 species
CUUGGAGCAGCGCUUCUGUUCUGGUCCUGAGGUCUGCUCUCUAAGGUCUUAUUCAGGGCGAGGUGGAGCAGUUUGAGGACUUUGUUAUCCAAUUCAGCCGUGUCGCGGCGCCCUUCGGAGCCAAGAUAGAGACCUGCUGGCCCGGAUUUCUGUAGCGCCGAAUAGGCAACCCCCCAUCCCCUACAUCCUGGUAUCUCAAUUGACAGCUGCUGGAAGGAGUUUUACAGAAGCAAGUCAUUCAACAGAAGCGAAGAUAAACAACUGGUCAGGGAGGGUCACACACCAGGCAAUUUAACAGACGCUAAGAUACAUUUUCUGGGACAUCUUGACCUCAGGUUCCUAGAAUAAAGUUGGGAGAUUUUUCAUGGUUUUUUUUCCUACCAAGGAGAUCAAAUUCUAGUUAAACCUAAAAUAGCCUUAGCAAGGAUAAAAGAUGGAGGAGCCUCUGUACUGUCUUGCCCUGUCACAGAACCUCUCCUGACCUUCCCUCAAAGGUCUACUACCUUAGGUGAGGACACCUAGUUCCUAACCUGUAUCAGCUCAGAUCCCCAACCUGCUGACUGUUGUUGGGAAACACUGCUAUUUAAGGUCUCAGGC